CCGCGCUCGCCGCCCGCCCCGGCCCGGGCGCGGCCCAGACCUGGAGGGGGAAGGCGCGGCGCGGGCCUCGGCGGCCUCUGGCCGCGCGUUCCCGAGCGUCUCCAGGCUAAUUAGGGAAGCUGCCGCCCGGUCCCAAGGGAAGGAGAACCCCACGGACUCGCCGAAAGAAAGACGGCUGUGCUGCUUCUGAACAUACUGCACCUUAUCCGGGAACACAUUUUUACCAAAUGCGAGCACUCUUCUAAGCCAUUUGCAAAAGCUUCGCUUCAACACCACCUUGUGCCCGCUCUGCCCCCGUGCACUGGCUGCCUUCUCCCCACUGGACACCCAAGCUCCCUCCUGCCUAGAGGACCUGCCGGAGCUGCUGCCUCUCCUGGGGCACUCUUAGCUGCCCUCCUCCUGGGUGGCUCAAAGCAUCCUUCUGAUUCCACCACUGGAAUGCAGUCUCCAAGAGGGCUCUGAGCAUCAUGGCAAAUCCAGCAUCUGACACACUGCUGGUACAGAGUAGCUCCUUGAUAAAUAUUUGCUCAUCAAUGAACUUUCACCAUGACCUGUCAUAAACCUGUGACUACCUCAAAUGUGUUCAACUCUAUAUCUACUCUCACUUCCCAACUCUUUCCGACUCUGGUCUUGCGCCCCUUUAGUUUAAACUUCCGCUCUUGGCCUUUCCAGGGGCCUUGGGUUUUUUGACCGCUCUCUUGUCACAAGCAGGCAUCUCUCUCCAGCCUCCUUGGUUCUCCAGUCGUGCCCUCCUGGUUGAAACCUCAACCCCACAUCAGCCUCCUCUGUUCUCAGAGCCAGGACUUUCAGUGCUGCCAAGGAAAAUCAAAGAAAUAUGCAGACUGAAACCACAAACAUUUUUUAUGGUCUACAGUGUACCUUGGGCUCUUAAUGUCUUGAGGACAUUCUCUGAAAACCACAUUGGACGGCACAUAAAUAUCUGUGUCACAUUUGUCUGUAUUUAUGGUUAUUUGUUCUGGAGAGAUCCUGAAGAGGAUUUACUGAGUCAGUGAGUAGGAAUGGCUCUGAGGCUCUGGCUGAGUCACAGGUGUGAGAGGUUCUGAGGUUCUCAGGCCCACGUGGCACACCUCUACAGUACUUCAAUUUUCCUGUUCUCCAAAGCAACUUGCCAAAACUGCUGUCGCACACCAUGUGUUUCCAGUCCCCAUCAUGCUCUCCUCUCAACAGAUGAUUAUGAUUCCUUCUUCAGAAGAAAUUCAAGUUACCAGGUACACUCUGUUUCCACCCACCCCCAGCCCAACACCACUGAUCUCUGAUCCUAAACAUAUGACGGUAUCUUCCUGCCCCUAACAUUUAGACUGGAGCAAACCCUCCUCCACCAAAGAAGUGCCUUUCUCAAAUGUAAGUAUGAUCAGGAAACCCAGCAUUUACUGAGUACUAUACAGCAGACACUACACUAGUUGCUUUCAAAGAGUCCAAUUUGAAUUUCUAUGAGGGCAUUUUAUGUAAAGGCCAGAAAAUUUGUGAAACAUGCCCAAGAUGACACUGUUAUUAAGUGCCAGAACCCAUAAAUGAUGCUGAAGUGCUUGACUUAUACAAGUUAUGUCUAAGCACUUACUGUGAAUUGGGCUGAAUUUUUUCAAAUUGGAAAGGGGUACGUGAUAUCCCAUUUUUCAUAUGUGUUGGGCAAUAUAAUCUGGGGAUUAUCGAUUCUUGUCCACGUCUGCGGGUUGCUGGUGCUGAGUUCCAACUUGGCGGGCCGGGGCCAGGGAACCUGGUCAGCCCCUGGGGGAGGCGAUGGGCAUGGGCAGUAGCGCCCUCCACAGCCCCCCCCCAGGGAACCUGGCCAG